rnacentral:lncRNA from 1 species
UAGGAGACCCGUAUGUGGGUGUUGGCGACCCAUAUGUUGGCGUUGGGGGAUGGUACUCUGGCUGAGGCUUGGGCUCUGGUUUGGGCUGCGGCUUAGGUUCCGGCUUCGGCUUUGGCGGUAUGGGCUUCUUGUGGAAGUGGUCGAAGAAGUGGUGGUGGUCAUGGUCCUUGUGGAAGUGACCAAGCAACUUGGCAAACAAGUGCCUAGCUGGAGGGUGGUAGAUCGGUGUCGGAGACCCGUAUGUUGGUGUUGGGGGAUGGUACUCUGGCUGAGGCUUAGGCUCUGGCUUCGGCUGCGGCUUAGGUUCCGGCUUCGGCUUCGGCGGCAUGGGCUUCUUGUGGAAAUGGUCAAAGAAGUGGUGGUGGUCGUGGUUCUUAUGGAAGUGAUCAAACAAGUGCUUCUUGUCGAACAACUGCCUUGCUGGAGGAUGGUAGAUCGGAGUUGGGGAUCCAUAUGUGGGCAUUGGUGAUCCAUACGUCGGU